rnacentral:rRNA from 1 species
UACGUAGGGUGCGAGCGUUGUCCGGAAUUAUUGGGCGUAAAGAGCUUGUAGGCGGUUUGUCGCGUCUGCUGUGAAAACUCGGGGCUUAACUCCGGGCCUGCAGUGGGUACGGGCUGACUAGAGUGCGGUAGGGGAGACUGGAAUUCCGGGUGUAGCGGUGGAAUGCGUAGAGAUCCGGAAGAACACCGGUGGCGAAGGCGGCCCGCUGGGCAGAGACUGACGCUGAUGCGCGACAGCGUGGGGAGCAAACAGG